UACCGAUACUCAACCAUUAAGGCAAAUAGAAGCUUUAAUGAGUAAGAGGGCGUGAAUACUGUGCAGAAGGCUUGGAUGUGAAUCUGGCUGGAACAGUAUUUAGUGCAGAUCUUGGUGGUAGUAGCAAAUAUUCAAAUGAGAACUUUGAAGACCGAAGUGGAGAAGGGUUCCAUGAGAACAGCAUUUGUUCAUGGGUUACUCGAUCCUAAGACAUAGGGAAAUUCCUUGUAAUACAUGCGAUCUUACGACCGCAUUGUACAAAAGGGAAUGAGGUUGAUAUUCCUCAAGCUGGAUGUGGUGGCAACGUGGCAACACAAACAAGCUCGGAAACACCGGUAUGUGCAACUGGAAGAGUUCUCUUUUCUUCUUAACAAUCUAUCUCCCUGAAUGGAUUAUCCAAAGCAAGGGAUAUAUGGUUGGCAGAGCAGUUCAUCAUAGAAUUGUCAGUGAUGCCCAUAACGGUCCUUGAAAAUCUGAGUAAGGUAUCCAAAC
rnacentral:rRNA from 1 species